ensembl:snRNA
CAAAAAAGCUGCUGUUGUGAGUGAUACAUGCAGGGCAACUUGAUUGCUCUUAGUGCAGAACUGACAUCAAGGAAUUUUGGAAGUGUAACUUUUUGGUAGGUUGAUAGCUGGUUGUUAAUUAGUCCAUUCUCACA